UACGUAGGGGGCGAGCGUUGUCCGGAAUCAUUGGGCGUAAAGCGCGUGUAGGCGGCCCGGUAAGUCCGCUGUGAAAGUCCAGGGCUCAACCCUGGGAUGCCGGUGGAUACUGUCGGGCUAGAGUCCGGAAGAGGCGAGUGGAAUUCCUGGUGUAGCGGUGAAAUGCGCAGAUAUCAGGAGGAACACCAAUUGCGAAGGCAGCUCGCUGGGACGUCACUGACGCUGAGACGCGAAAGCGUGGGGAGCAAACAGG
rnacentral:rRNA from 1 species